UGAAUGUUGCUUGUUUACAAAAUGCAGAUUACUCCCUCUGUUGCAGCAGAGGUAAGCUCUGGACUGUGGCUGACAUUGAUUCUUUCAAGUUGUUCUCAGUUAAGAGGCAAAGAUAAUUGUAGUAGCAGUGAUGACAAAGUGGUGGGGGAGAGAGACACUGAUCCCUGUUUUUUGCUUAGGUCUGCCAGUGAGACACUAUAUGGAAGUGGCAAGAACACAAUGUCAUGCUUGUCAGCUCAGUGUCCCCAUCCUGAAUUGGGGUAGCCCUGCAGGGUUUGUUGCCUGGCGAACGAAAAGGACUGUCAUCCAGGGAAUGGGCAGAAGGUAGCUGAAAAUCCCAUCGACUUUCAUAUUGAUACCCUUUCCGCAAGAGUCUGUGAGUUCCUUGGGCCUGUGACACAUUUGUGUCUGCAAUGCAUUCUGCAAAAGUAUCACAUACUCAUGACAUUUUAAGAAUACAUAAGGAAGAAUGCAAGGACAAGAGAUUCACAGGGAGCAACCGUGUUGGGAACAAUGAUUUUUUCAGAGGACAUGUUGGGCAGUACUGAGAAAAGCACCCAUCAGAUGAGAAACCUCAGGGAAAGGGCGGUCGUGAAGGGUGUUUGCAAUGAGCAGAACCCUUGGGGAAAGAGAAGUUUCCUCACAAACUUUCAGAAGAAAAUACAAGGCCAGCAGGGAGCUGGUUAUGGCUUCCCAGAUUUCUGGAUAUUUUUUUUUUUUUUCUAGUUUGCACCAGUUGGAAACAGUUGCUGAGCAACUGGUUCCUGUGUACUCUGGCCACUCCUCAUCUGUGAUGAGCUUUCUUUAGGUUACCUGUAUAUCCUCUGUGCAAUGUCAUCUGGGACGGACAUCUGCGUUCUAUUCUGUGAUGAGAUGACUGGCUGAGCAGAUAAGGGGAGAGCAGUACACGUUGUAUACCUUGAAUUUAGCAAGGCAUUUAACAGUCUACCUAGUAUUCCUACAGCCAAACUGGUGAGCUAUGGACUGGAUAAAUAGUAAGGUGGGUGGAAAAUUAUCUCAACCAUUGAGCUCUAAGGGUGGUGAUCACUGGUACAAAGCUCACCUGGCAACUGGUUAUGAGUGGCAUGCCUCAGGGAUUGAUGCCAACCGUGCUUGUCUUCAGUAACAGCUUGGAUGACUGGAUAGAGUGCAACCUUUGCAAGUUUGCGGGUUAUAUGAAUUGGGAAGGGUGGACAGUACACUGAGGGCAGGGCUGCUUUUGAGCCAGAAAUGGCUUGUCAGGAACCUCAUGAAACUUACGAAAGGCAAAUGGAAGGUCCUCCUCCAUCUGGGAUGAAAUAAGCCCGUGUAACAGCACAGGGUAGCACUGACUGGCUAAGAAGCAGAUUUGUAGAAAAAGACCUGAGGUCCUUGUGGGCAGCAAGUUGCACGAGUCAUCAGUGUGUCCUUCUGACAAAGAAGGCCAGCUGCAUCUUGGGAUACAUUAGGAGGAGGAUAGCCAGCAGGUGGAGGGAAGUGAUGGUUCUUUCCCUCUAUAUGGCACUUGUGGGACCACCUCUGGAGUGGUGUGUCCAGUUUUGGGCUCCCCAGCACAGAAAAGAUGUUGACAUAGUGGAGCAAGUGCAUCAGAGGGCCAUUGAGAUGCUUAGGGGGCUGGAGCACAUGAUGUACAAAGAGAGGCUGAGAGAUGUGUUUGUUCCAUCCUAAGAAGAGAAUGCUAAUGCAGUGAGGGGAAUCUCAUUGCUGUCUAUGACUACCUAACAGGAGCAUGUUGAGAAGACAGAGCUAGACCCUUCUCAGAGGAGCAGAAUGGAAGGACAAGAGGCUGUGACCAGAAGUUAGAAUAUGGGAAACUCCAUCCCAGUGCAAGGGGAAAACCUUUUGCCUUGAGACUGGUCAAAUGCUGGAACAGGUUGCCUGGAGAGGCUGUGGAAUCUCCAUCCAUGGAGAUACUUGAAACUUGACUGGCCACUGCCUUCAGCAGCUGGAUCUAAAUGGACCUACAUUGAGUAAGGUGUUGGUGUAAAUGUUCUCUGGUGGUUCCUUCCAACCUAAAUGAUUCUGUCUAAGGAAUUCAUUACAUGGUGGUCAUUGAAUGCGUGUGGGCUAAUGCCAGUAAGAGAGAUCUAUCUCUCUUUAUUCAUAUUUUUAAAGUAGAAGGUACAGGCCAAUGGAGUUUCAUUUUGCAGGGGGUAAUAUAAAGAUGAAACAACCAAAAUAAAGAAGAAAUGAGUUAUGAUUUUUCAUUUGUAUAGUACGUUACUUAAGCCUUAGAAGUACGUGAACAGUAUUAUAUUUAUUCCACCUUCUCUGUGUCUUCUUGAUAUUUCAUUUGAUAUCUUCUUUUCUCUCAUAAGAACUUCCUAGGAAUUGCAUUCACUUUCUUGUUGCAGAUAAUCAUGUCAUGUAAUUGUUUGCACACACAGAUGGUGAUCCAUCUGAAACCUGGACUUCUUGCUCCUGCCGGUCUAACUGGAGGGCUUUUCUGUAACUUCUGAUUCUCCAGCUAAUUGUAUUAAUUGAUAUUAUGGUUCUGUGUAUUCCUACUGCUGAGAGAAGAAUACUAGUAUUUUUUGAAGGCUUGUCUUCAGUGGAGAGGUAAAGUCAUUUUACCGAAGCUAAACUGUCUUGAGUCAGCAACUGUGUACAGAGAUAGUAUAAGCUAUAUAUUGAGUGCUUUGAUUAACAGCUUAGCAGUUUCCUACUUGAAUUGAAGUCUCUUGGUGCUUUCCCACCCCAUUACUAGCUAGAAAAUUAACAGGCUUUGAGAUUUCCUCCGUUGACAGUCCAGUAUUUCAAAGCUUAAAAAAGAAAGGCUUGUAUGUAGGUAGUAAUCAGCUACAGGAUCAUCUUUGUUCCCUCAGGCUAAUGCUCCAGAGAGGAAAAGCACCAAGACAAAACCAAUGUGCAAUGUAUACUGAAAUCUAAAGUCUGAUUUCAGCAAACAGGCAGAGAGCAAGCACCACACGUCAGGCGAAGCAGAAGUCUUUUCCAGGGACUGUUGGUGACACUGAAGGGUCUCUGACAUCCAAUAAGGUACUGCAGUGUAAGCCAAAAGCUCUUCUUAUAGGAGAAACUCAGUCAACAGUUCCUGAGUAAUGUCCAGCUUCUCAGAGAGAUUAAGAAGGAAUCGAAUACAAAUAUUCUUCACUGCCUUGAAAUAAUUUAUACAAAACCCAUUAAUUCAAGUCCAUAACUGUGACAAACCCAGCAAUUUUUGGGGUUGAUUUUGAGUGGAUGGAGAAGUCAACAGCCAUCUCUACUUGCCAAGGAAAAGAGAAUCCCUUGAGUUUCCAGAACCUGCUGCCAGACACGCAGUCUUCUCACCAGGUGGAAGGGUGCUCUGCAUGGGAAGAUAAUGGAGGUGCCGGCCAGACUGGAUGGAACUGAAUAAUUAAAGAAGCUUGUAAAUUAUGUUGCCAUCAAAUGCUGGAGGAUAUGGUCCUGCUGCAGGAAAAGAACUGCCUCUUGUGUAUCUGAGGCAUUUUUCAGAAGAUAUUAAGGAUGAAUAUUGGAUGCAUAAUUAGGUUUUCUUGAAGGUAUGUUGAUACGUUAGAGGUAGAUCAUGCAAUAAUUUAUAUUAUCCCACAUUACCUAUACUUUGACUGAGCAGUUGUAUCACUGCUUGUAUUUCUGCAUCUCCAGUUGAUAUUUUUCUAGAAUAAAUAUAUUUUAGAAAAUGGAAGAUUAUAGUUGCUGCUCUCUACAUGCAACAUGCCUUUUUUUAUUUCUUUCUCUUCAUUUUAUUCCCUUUACAUAUUUUCAUCCCCCCUUUAAUUUAAUGGGAACCAUACACAGAAGUCAGGCAGAUAAAUGUACUGAAACCUGGUUAGCAUUUAAUCUCUUUUUAGAUAAAUGCAAAUAUUGCUGUUGAUGGUACCGGAGCCUUGUCCAGCAGUCAUCUGAGGAACUUGCUCAUCCAUUUUUCAGUGUGUCCAUUACUAUCAGUCAUGAAGAUUGUGAUCCAGAAUAUUCGUUCUUGACGAAAACAAUAGAAUUAAGCCACAGGGCUUCAGAAAAUUGCUUUCAUAUUCAAGCAGUGCUACACAUAUACAGACACCUUGUUGAUGAUUUUCCUGCCCUGAAGAAAAUAUAUUGCUGCUGCCACAAACCUGUCUUUUGGCACUUUGUCACUUACAAGUGAUGAUAAAAUUGCAACAAAGAGACUUCUUUUUAAUCUCAUAGGUCAUCGUUUGUACUCUGGACAGUCCUCCCUUUGUCCUCUCAUUUAGUUUAGAUAAGGUGGAAAAAUCCUCUUAGUUGCUUCUAAACUUCUCUUAAAAAUACAAAACAAAAAAAAUUCAGCCUCGAUGUACCCUCAAAUUUUGAACAUGACAACUUUUUUCUUCAUGUUUCUCAUUUAGAUCAAAAGCUCUGUGUACAUUUUAAAUAUAUAUUUUUUUGGCAGCUGAAUUGCAGGCAGACUUUUUGAUUUAUAGAUUUGCAUCAAACUGUAAACCUUAAGAGAGACAUUUAAUCCCUUUAAUUUUGUGAGAAUCCCAGAAUCAUGUGAUAAUUGUAUUACUGAUUUUCUGACCUUUAUUAUAUCCAUUUGUUACUGCUAAAUGCUUAGCAUAAUUUUUUAAAUUCAGUCAUCCAGUCCAUCAAUUCAAAGUUGCAGAAAACUUGUGACAGUUAGAAAGACAGAAAAAUUCUGAAUAAAUCCACGUACAUGUUGAAUAUUUUGAAGCUAGACUUUCACACCAUUUGUACAAACAGCAAUUUAUCUGGCUACAUUCUGUUUGAUUUUUUUUUCUACAUUUGUUGGGAGAUUUUUCUCAUCUUUGUCAGCUUGCUCUUCAGCUUUAUACCUCAGUGAAGUUCCAAACCUCUCUGUGACAUAAAAAGUCUACUGCCAUGGGAUUUUGAUGCAGCAAAUGCAGCAUUUUGUCUCCUGUCUGCGCUCUCUUCCAGUCUGUCUCUUCCAGUUGGAGGUAUGGAAAGAGCAAAGAAGAAAAAGAGGCUUAAAAUCUCCUGAAAAGGGCAGCAGAAGAAGGUACCCUUGCAGUAUGUUUUCCUCUGUCCACACUGUACAUCAGGCUUGUCUGCUCCUCUCCUGUACAUCUGACAACCGGCAUCCAGGAACAGGACAGGGUAGGAGUGAGGUGGAACCAAAACUGGUGUCAUACUUUUUAUGUUGGGGUUAAACAUACUGUUUAGAAAAAUUAAGGGGUGCUAUCAAUACCUAGGACAGUUUCUCUACCUUUUCUCUCUUACUUUGGUCCCCCUGAUUACCACCAAGCAGAGGCUGUGAAGGCAUUGCACGUUCCCUAGGAUGAAGGAGCAGUCAGCUCCUGCAAUCCCCAUUGCACACAAGGGCUUGAAGAGAAAGGAAGAGACAGACCCAGAAAUUCAAAGUUUACUGAUUUGAGUACAACCUCCAGAAGCCUAGGACAUUCACGGUUCCUCCUGUGAGAAAGCCAAGCAUUAAGAACUACAGAAAUGGACACUUAGGUGCCUAAAUAACCAUUAAAGGCCAAACUCUCUGUAAGUGCCCACGGGAAACAAGCCUUAUCACUCUGGGUGGAGGGAUCCUUGUGUUCAAACUGAUCACUACUGAGGAUAAUAGACAGAUUACUCAUUUACCUGGAUUUGGCCCCUAUGAAUAGAAAAGUCCUGGGCCUCCUGCCGGUGUCACCUUCCCUCAUCUCAUAAAGUCACUGCAGAUUCACCGAUAUAAACUGGCAAAAGCAGAAUUAGCCACAAUGAGCAUUCUUGCUUCUUCGUGGGACUCUUCACAGAGUGGGCUGAACUUGAAGAUAAUGAACCACCAUUGUCUAGUUUAAUUGUACUGCUUGAAAACCUUCACAAUAAAUAAAGAUGCAUGCCUAAA